rnacentral:lncRNA from 1 species
AAUAUAUAUUAUAUAUAUGGCAGAAAAAUAUAAUUAAUUUCCCCAGACACCUAUCUUCCUCUUGGGUAAAACUGGAUCCGUAGAUCAGAUAUUAGAAAGAAAAGUAAACACCAUUUGUGCACUAAAUAUUAGUACAAGUUUGAUAAUGUCUUGUUAAGCCAAUCUGAUAGGCGCUUCGUCUGUGCUCCAACCUCUGCAUUUUUGCCGAAAUAAUUGUGGGCAAUUGACAUCAGCGGCAAUAAUUGUGGGCAAUUGACAUCACCACCCUCAUGUCAUGGUUAACUGCUUCCAAGCUUCGAUAAUAAUCGUUUUCCAACCUCGACACUAGUAAAUCGGGUGACAAUGGGACUGGAUACCUG